AUUGAACGCUGGCGGCAUGCCUUACACAUGCAAGUCGAACGGUAACAGGUCUUCGGAUGCUGACGAGUGGCGAACGGGUGAGUAAUACAUCGGAACGUGCCCGAGAGUGGGGGAUAACGAGGCGAAAGCUUUGCUAAUACCGCAUACGAUCUCAGGAUGAAAGCAGGGGACCGCAAGGCCUUGCGCUCACGGAGCGGCCGAUGGCAGAUUAGGUAGUUGGUGGGAUAAAAGCUUACCAAGCCGACGAUCUGUAGCUGGUCUGAGAGGACGACCAGCUACACUGGGACUGAGACACGGCCCAGACUCCUACGGGAGGCAGCAGUGGGGAAUUUUGGACAAUGGGCGCAAGCCUGAUCCAGCCAUGCCGCGUGCAGGAUGAAGGCCUUCGGGUUGUAAACUGCUUUUGUACGGAACGAAAAGACUCCUUCUAAUAAAGGGGGUCCAUGACGGUACCGUAGGAAUAAGCACCGGCUAACUACGUGCCAGCCGCCGCAGUAAUAC
rnacentral:rRNA from 1 species